CUGGCAUGCAGCGUGCGCUCCGGGACGGCGGCUAUUUUUAUUAUUAAUUAAGGAGUAACGAAGGUGACAGCUGUGUAAACUGUAAAGCGCGACUGGGGACUGAACGGGUAUUAUUAGCACCGCCCCCGCUCCGGCUACUCCCUCCAAAUCAACAAACUUGCGCUUCCGUGGGCCAGGAGGCAGAAGCAAAUGGAACUCUACCUAGUUGUAAGCCAGCUUCCUUGGUCUAGACUUCCAGCCCAUCCAAGACUACAUAAGAGAUGUGGCCUCAAAGAAAGAAAGGAGAACGAGUUGGAGAAAAGCUGUCACGACCCUCCAAAAUCAAUAUAUUUACAGCUUCCUGAGAGGACGGCGAUGCUAAAGACUGUGUCAUUGGGGUGAGAUGGCUUAACAGGUAACAAGAAAAAAAAAGUGGGGCUGGUGAGAUGGAUCGAUGGGUAAGAACACUGACUGUUCUACCAAAGGACCUGAGUUCAAAUCCCAGCAACCACAUGGGACGUAAUGAGAGUUGUGGCCCUCUUCUGGUGCAUCUGAAGUCAGC
rnacentral:lncRNA from 1 species